rnacentral:rRNA from 1 species
CCCUUAGAUGUUCUGGGCCGCACGCGCGUUACACUGACGAUGGCAACGAGUUUUUCCUUCGCCGAAAGGUGUGGGUAAUCUUUUGAAACAUCGUCGUGCUGGGGAUAGAUCAUUGCAAUUUUUGAUCUUGAACGAGGAAUUCCUAGUAAGCGCGAGUCAUCAGCUCGCGUUGAUUACGUCCCUGCCCUUUGUACACACCGCCCGUCGCUACUACCGAUUGAAUGGUUUAGUGAGGACUCCUGAUUGGCGCCGCCGCCCCGGCAACGGAGCAGCGGACUGCCGAAAAGUUGUUCAAACUUGAUCAUUUAGAGGAAGUAAAAGUCGUAACA